GCGCGAUCCGCGUCGGGGACACUAACAGGUGGGGAGUUUGGCUGGGGCGGCACGUCUGUUAAAAAAUAACGCAGGCGCCCGAUUUUGAGCUCAAUGAGAACAGAAAUCUCAUGUGGACCGAAAGGGGAAAAGCUCGGUUGAUUUUGAUUUUCAGUACGAAUACAAACCGCGAAAGCGUGGCCUAUCGAUCCUCUCGUCUUUGGGAAUUUCAAGCUAGAGGUGUCAGAAAAGUUACCACAGGGAUAACUGGCUUGUGGCUGCCAAGCGUUCAUAGCGACGUAGCUUUUUGAUCCUUCGAUGUCGGCUCUUCCUAUCACUGCCUCGCAGCGGGGGCCAAAUGCAGGAUUGUUCACCCACCAACAGGGAACGUGAGCUGGGUUUAGACCGUCGUGAGACAGGUUAGUUUUACCCUACUGCUGUCUGUUUUUCUACGGUAAUUUGGUUCAGUACGAGAGGAACCACCAAUUCGCAUCAUCGGUAUAGCCGCCGCCGGAAACGGCGAUGCGGCGAAGCUGCCAUGCGCCGGAUUAUAACUGAACGCCUCUAAGUUAGAAUCCAUGCCGGAAGGAAAGCCACCUACCGGCCCGGGGACGCCACGAGCAACGGUAGCACUGCCUGAGCCGCGAGCGACCACAAUUCACGGACCCGGGCCGACGAAUCCCUUGCAGACGACUUGAAUAAGGAACGGGGUAUUGUACGCGGCAGAGUGGCCUUGUUGCCACGAUCCGCUGAGAUUCAGCCUUGGUUCUGACGAUUUGU
rnacentral:ncRNA from 1 species